rnacentral:tRNA from 1 species
AGGGAUUUAGCUCAGUAACGCAGAGCACCCCUGGUAAGUGGGAGGUCCUGAGUUCAAUUCCCAGGAACCCCUA